GCGAUGGGGGUAUUGUGGUGAGCAUAGCUGCCUUCCAAGCAGUUGACCCAGCGUUCGAUUCCCGGCCAUCGCA
rnacentral:tRNA from 1 species